rnacentral:rRNA from 1 species
UGGAGGAAGGCGGGGAUGACGUCAAAUCAUCAUGCCCCUUAUGACUUGGGCUACACACGUGCUACAAUGGCGUAAACAAAGGGAAGCAAAGCUGUGAAGCCGAGCAAAUCUCAAAAAUAACGUCUCAGUUCGGACUGUAGUCUGCAACCCGACUACACGAAGCUGGAAUCGCUAGUAAUCGCAGAUCAGAAUGCUGCGGUGAAUACGUUCCCGGGUCUUGUACACACCGCCCGUCACACCAUGGGAGUUGGGAAUGCCCGAAGCCAGUGACCUAACCGAAAGGAAGGAGCUGUCGAAGGCAGGCUCGAUAACUGGGGUGAAGUCGUAACAAGGUAGCCGUAUCGGAAGGUGCGGCUGGAUCACCUCCUUU